AAGACAUGAUAAGGGCACUUUCUAAGCAUCUCUUUGAAUAUCUCUCAACUCUCAUGAAUAAAUUCUCAUUUUGAGUAAAAGAAGUAAUAUAAUUUAUAAGUUU